CCAGAAAGCAGAGUGGUGCCUAGUGGAUGCUAAGCGCCCAGUGAGCGUAGUGGGUGACUCGGGCUUCUUACUCCCCGGCUGUGGGCCUUCAAGGAAGGAUGUCUGUUUUUCCUAGGCCUUGCCCAUGCUCUCUGCAAGAAGUUGGGCCUGAUCGCACGGGGACUCUGGAAGGGAGGCUGAGCGAGAAGAAGAGAAGGCAACGGCUAAUGUCCUCCUGGGGCAGUGCCCCCUGAGGCCUCCAGGCAGCAGAACAAAAGUGGAUUUUGGUCAGCUGCUUGCCCACCUACACCAGUGAUUUGAUGUGGCACAACGGACAUCAGAAUGCGAGAGUCAAAAUUCUAGCCAUUCCAGUACUUGGGAGAUCUGUGAAACAAAAUGGGAGGAAUGCUACCUCCGCUCCAGGGUCAUGCUAAGGAUCUACUGGGAAGAGAAAGAAAAUGAAGGUAACAACUAAGAAAUGUCCACUGUUCUUCUAGUUGUCAGACAUUCUUCCCAGUAUGAGGACUUCCUGCCUGCUUCUGAGUUAACACCGGAUAGAUGAGAAGGAUGAUCCCUUCCAAGGACAUUCAACUAUCCAUGGAGAGGAGUUUUUCUAGAAGCACAGAGUCACCACAAUCAGCAGGUGGACAUCUUGACAAGCAGAGAGCAGUGUGAUCACAAAACUAAACACAUCUUCUUUGGAGACAGGAAGGAAUACUUUAGCAUGCACCCUGGCACUCUUUAAUACAGUUGUGCAACUCAAGUCUCCAAAGAGUACACAUUUUUGCUGGGUGGUGAUGGCUCACGCCUUUAAUCCCAGCACUCGGGAGGCAGAGGCAGGUGGAUAUCUGUGAGUUCGAGACCAGCCUUGUCUGCCGAGUGAGUUCCAGGACAGCCAGCGCUACACAAAGAAACCCUUGGGAAAAAAAGAGUACAAAUUGUGUCCUUUUUCCUUGACCCCUUAUUGUUCCCCCAACCCCUUUAAUAUAUUCCCAAUGGGAUCUUGUUGUCAUUCCCUUUAAUAAAAUACGUGCUUCCAUA